rnacentral:rRNA from 1 species
GGACCAUCAUGUCGGUCGUGCCUCGGUACGUACUGGUAUUGUUGGUUUCUCCCUUCUGCAGAACCAUGAUGUCAUUUAUUUGGUGUUGUGGGGAAUCAGGACUGUUACUUUUUGAAAAAUUAGAGUGUUUAAAGCAGGCUCACGCUUGAAUACAUUAGCAUGGAAUAAUGAAAUAGGACGUUUGAUUCUAUUUUGUUGGUUUCUAGGACCGCCGUAAUGAUU